rnacentral:rRNA from 1 species
AUUGAACGCUGGCGGCAUGCUUUACGCAUGCAAGUCGAACGGUAACAGGGUGCUUGCACCGCUGACGAGUGGCGAACGGGUGAGUAAUGCGUCGGAACGUGCCGAGUAGUGGGGGAUAACGCAGCGAAAGUUGUGCUAAUACCGCAUACGUACUGAGGUAGAAAGGGGGGGACCUUCGGGCCUCACGCUAUUCGAGCGGCCGACGUCUGAUUAGCUAGUAGGUGAGGUAAAGGCUCACCUAGGCGACGAUCAGUAGCGGGUCUGAGAGGAUGAUCCGCCACACUGGGACUGAGACACGGCCCAGACUCCUACGGGAGGCAGCAGUGGGGAAUUUUGGACAAUGGGCGAAAGCCUGAUCCAGCCAUGCCGCGUGUCUGAAGAAGGCCUUCGGGUUGUAAAGGACUUUUGUCAGGGAGGAAAUCCCUAGUGCUAAUAACACUGGGGGAUGACAGUACCUGAAGAAUAAGCACCGGCUAACUACGUGCCAGCAGCCGCAGUAA